rnacentral:tRNA from 1 species
CGAGACGUCGCCAAGCAGCUAAGGCACCUGGCCUACACCCAGGCAUUCCGGGGGUGCAAGUCCCUCCGUCUCGACCA